AGGGCGCAUGGAGGAUGCCUAGGCUCUCGGAGGCGAAGAAGGACGUGAUAAGCUGCGAAAAGUUACGGUAAGGCGCAAAUAGCCCUAGACCCGUAAAUAUCCGAAUGGGGCAACCCGGCCAGCAAUGGCCAUACCGCCAAGCGGUAAGCCAACGCGGGGAACUGAAACAUCUAAGUACCCGCAGGAAAAGAAAAUAACAAUGAUUCCGCCAGUAGUGGCGAGCGAACGCGGAACAGCCCAAACCACUCGUGUUACGGCACGAGUGGGGUAGAAGGACCACGAUACGGCAAGAAAUAAGUUAGCAGAAUACGAUGGAAAUCGUAGCCAAAGACGGUGACAGCCCGGUAUGCGAAAACAGACAGAAGCCCAGUGGACACCUGAGUAACCCAGGACACGAGAAAUCCGGGGCGAAUCAGCGGGGCCCAUCCCGUAAGGCUAAAUACUCCCGAGAGACCGAUAGCGAACCAGUACUGUGAAGGAAAGGUGAAAAGCACUUCGAAUAGAAGAGUGAAAUAGUCCCUGAAACCGUGCGCCUACAAGCGGUCGGAGCUGCUAAGCUGUGACGGCGUGCCUUUUGCAUAAUGAACCUACGAGUUACUCUCGCUGGCAAGGUUAAGCGAUUCAGUCGCGCAGCCGAAGCGAAAGCAAGUCCGAAUAAGGCGUACAGUCAGCGGGAGUAGACGCGAAACCAAGUGAUCUACCCUUGGUCAGGUUGAAGGUUGGGUAACACCAACUGGAGGACCGCACCGAUAAGCGUUGAAAAGCUUACGGAUGAACUGAGGGUAGGAGUGAAAGGCCAAUCAAACUUGGAGAUAGCUCGUACUCCCCGAAAUGCAUUUAGGUGCAGCCUCGAAGUAAAGUGAUAGAGGUAGAGCGACUGAUAAGAUGCGAGGGCUUCACCGCCUAUCAAGUCUUGACAAACUCCGAAUACUAUCACUUGAUCUUCGGGAGUGAGGGCAUGGGUGCUAAGGUCCAUGUCCGAAAGAGGAACAACUCAGACCACCAGCUAAGGUCCCGAAAUAAGGGCUAAGUUGAACAAACGAAGUAAAACUGCAAAGACAGCUAGGAUGUUGGCUUGGAAGCAGCCAUUCAUUUAAAGAGUGCGUAACAGCUCACUAGUCGAGGAGUUUUGCAUGGAUAAUAAUCGGGCAUAAGCCCUUUACCGAAGCUGUGGAUGUCGUAAGACAUGGUAGGGGAGCAUUCCGGCGGCGACGAAGGCCGUCCUCGAGGACGACUGGAGCUUUCGGAAAAGCAAAUGUAGGUAUAAGUAACGAUAAAGGGGGCGUGAAACCCCCUCGCCAUAAGACUAAGGAUUCCUGAUCAACGCUAAUCGGAUCAGGGUAAGUCGGGCCCUAAGGCGCAGCCGAACGGCGUAGCCGAUGGAAGAAACGGUAAAGAUUCCGUUACUGGAUAUAGGAGCGAUGUGGAGACGGAGAAGUGACACACCCGCCUGCCGACGGAAGCGCAGGUUAAAGGAAGUAGGUAAACGCCGGGUAGGCAAAUCCGCCUGGCGUGCCGAAGCUGACAGUAUCGAGAGCCCCCGGGCAAUCGAAUAGCGCGUGGUAAUCAGGCUCCCAAGAAAAUCCGCUAAGCAAAUUCUAUAUCCACCCGUACCCCAAACGGACACACGUAGUCGGGUAGAAUAUACCAAGGCGCUCGAAAGACUCACGGUUAAGGAACUAGGCAAAUUGACCCUGUAACCUCGGGAAAAAGGGUCCCCAGUAAGAUGGGGCGCAGAGAAUAGGUCCAGGCAACUGUUUAACAAAAACACAGGGCUGUGCAAAAUUUCAAGAUGAAGUAUACAGCCUGACACCUGCCCGGUGCCGGAAGGUUAAGAGGAGAGCUAAUCGCAAGAGAAGGCUUGAAUUGAAGCCCCGGUAAACGGCGGCCGUAACUAUAACGGUCCUAAGGUAGCGAAAUUCCUUGUCGGGUAAGUUCCGACCUGCACGAAUGGUGUAAUGAUCUGGACACUGUCUCAACCGUGACUCAGUGAAAUUGUAGUAUCGGUGAAGAUGCCGAUUACCCGCAACGGGACGAAAAGACCCCGUGAACCUUUACUGCAACUUAGCAUUGCGUUUGGGCAUUUGAUGUGUAGGAUAGUCCGGAGGCUACGAGCCGGCGACGCCAGUCGUCGGGGAGCCGCUGUUGAAAUACGGACCUUCGAAUGUUUGAGCGCUAACUCGCAGGAGCGAGGACACUGUUUGGUGGGUAGUUUGACUGGGG
rnacentral:rRNA from 1 species